GGGUGCGAUCAUACCAGCACUAAUGCACCGGAUCCCAUCAGAACUCCGAAGUUAAGCGUGCUUGGGCGAGAGUAGUACUAGGAUGGGUGACCCCUGGGAAGUCCUCGUGUUGCACCCC
rfam:Erythranthe guttata cultivar DTN x IM62 scaffold_350_contig_6, whole genome shotgun sequence.